CUGGCAUUUGGCGGGGCCUUUGUCUUUCGCUUCCACUAAAACGUGGGAUCCUUCUCUGCUGUUCCGCGUCCUCCACCUCGGGACCCCUCACCCCGGUGACUCUGUCACAGCCUCCGUUUCCCUGUCAUCUGCAGGUCCUGGGAGACGCACAGCUAAGAUGCCAGGACAUCCUGGAAGUUGGGAAAGGAAGGAAUCUCCUUAUGUGAUGUCCAAAUGGGAGUUGCUCUUGUUUCCUGAUGCUUGGAUGAAGAACAAGUAGGAGCUCUGGAGGGUCACACUGAUAGGUGGAGUUGUGACAUAACUUGGCCAAGCACACAGAUGUAUUGAUGACUUUCAUACCUCGAAGAAGCCAGUAGAAGAGAUCAUGUUGCUCAAAGCUAUGCUUAGAAGAAAAUAACAAAGAAUAUCCUGAGUCUUCUUUCUGUAAAAAGUCAUACAGAGUUACCAUUCUGUAACAUAUAUAAAGCCCUAGUUAGUGUGUUACAGAGAAGUCAUAACUGUCCACCAUGCAGAUGAGAUUCUGUUUGUCACAUGCACACCCUACCAAUCUUUGUAAUUGUCACACUCACACGUGGACAGAAUCCACUGGUGAGGUCGUGAAUCUCACAUGAAUGCAUACCACAGUUGGAACUUUGACUGUCAUAUGUGAACAUCUGGCCACAGUUGUCAUGGUGACUCAUUUCUAAACCCAGCUCAUAGGAAGGUAAGGACUCUCUUAUCUGGACUAGAGAUGUUGACUCUGGGCUUAGAAUCACAGAAAAGAUUCUGGAUUUCCUUCUUGUGUGAAGGUUACAGAGGAUUACCACUCUUGCAUAUUGUAUAAAGCUCUCAGGUGACACAGGGAGUAUCAUAGGAGUACAUAGCACACUGGUGAGAUAGUGUCUCUUGAAUGCACAUUUAGGCAACAAUAAAGAUUGUCUUUCUUACACAUAAACAUAUCCCACUGCUGAGGUUCUGAAUCUCACACAUGGAGGCUGAUGAAAGUUGGAGAAUUGACUCUCACAUAUGGGCCUGGUCCACAAGUGGUCUGGUGACUCUCAGACCAAAAUUCAGCACACACAUGAGGCUGUGACAGCACUGGAAGAAUGCAACGUGCAGAAGAAAUUGUGACUCUUGUAAAAAUUCUGUUAGCUAUUGUGUUGUUCCUUAUGUACUUAGACCCAACGUACAGGACAUGUUGACUCUCAUAUCUAGAACGGGGACAUGUAUGGAAUUUCUAAUCUCAUUACUGGACCUUCCUUCAGGUGUGAUUGUAUGUAUUUGCUAAGCAUUUUAGUGAUUUGACUCUCCUGCCUUGGUCCAGCCCACAGAUGAGAUUGUGACAUAUCUCCUGACUCUGCACCUCAAAGGUGUGACUCUCUUUUCCAACCUUGGUGCAGCCCACAGCUGGGUGACGUGGCUGGGCCUCCCACCCAGGUGAUGUCAGGUUUUUUUGCCUUUGGUGUUGCCCACAGGGUGCAUUGUGACAUAUUGCUGAGUUCUGAACUUAGGUUAUGUGACUCUUUUUUUUUCUCCAAAGCUCUGAAUAUUUUGCAUGUUAGGACUUAUUAGUAGGCCCAACACCUAUAAAAUGAGAGGCUUCUGCCUAGGCCCUUUCUACAGAGGGUCUUUUGAUGUAUCUCUACAUCAGUCACCUAGGAGAAGUGAUUCUUUACUUUUGCCUGCACUCUGCCCACAGGAAAAAUUGUUGAUUAUCACUAGGACCAGAUACCAGGUGAUGUGUCUCUCCUUCAUGGGCCGUGACCAUAGAAAGCACUGCUACGUGGCUCAGCACCCAGGUGAUGUGACUGUUGCCUGUGUCCUGCUUUCAGGAGAAGGUUGUAACAUAUUCCUGGCUGAGUAUUAAAGUGAUUUGACACUCCUGUCUGGUCCCUUCCCUCAGUAAAGAUUGUGAUGUAUUCCUGGCCAAAAGCCCAGGUGAUGUGACUCCUUCUCUCGGCCUAUUCACAGGUGGGAUUGUAAAAUAUAUUUUGGCCUAGCUCACAGGUGACAUGGUGGCUCU